GGGGCUGUAGCUCAGUGGUAAAGUGCUCACCUCGCAUGUGGGAGGCACUGGGUUUGAUCCUCAGCACCACA
rnacentral:tRNA from 1 species